AAUCUCUCAGAUGGGCGGAGUCAAAGCAUGUGCUCUUGUUUGCACAUGUUGACUGUCAAACGGAACUUAUGCCACGGUCAUUUUCUGGAUCGCAACAGUAUAGAAAUGCCCAACGCAAGGUAGAGCUGUUUUAAACGCACUCAAAGUCCUUGAGUGCAAGAAACAGGCUUCAAGAUCCCUGAGGGAAUAUUUUGAUUUGGAUGGAAUUUGCAACCUGCACUGGCUACUAUCAACGUAACUGUAACUGAAUUCAAUGUAUGAGAACAACCUCCACACAAACUGAAAUGCACCC